rnacentral:rRNA from 1 species
UACGAAGGGGCUAGCGUUGUUCGGAAUCACUGGGCGUAAAGCGCACGUAGGCGGAUUUUUAAGUCAGGGGUGAAAUCCCGAGGCUCAACCUCGGAACUCGCCUUUGAUACUGGGGAUUCUGGAGUCCGGGAGAGGUGAGCGGAACUGCGAGUGUAGAGGUGAAAUUCGUAGAUAUUCGCAAGAACACCAGUGGCGAAGGGCGGC